rnacentral:rRNA from 1 species
AUCUAUUUAUAGAUACUAAUUAUUAUAAAACAUGGAUCAACUUUAUCAGCAUAACCAAUAAAUAUAAUAACAAUUAAAUAUUUCAAACAAGAUCUACUCCUAGCAUGUGACGGGCGGUGUGUGCAAAGUCUAAGUACAUAUUCACCGUAACGUGCUGAUUUACGAUUACUAGUGAUUCCACCUUUAUGAAGACGAAUUGCAGUCUUCAAUCUGUACACGGUAAAUUUUUUAAGAUUAACUCAAAAUCACUUUUUUGUAGAACUCGCUGUUUUUACCAUUGUAGCACGUGAGUAGCCCAGUUCAUAAGGGCCAUAAGGGCUUGACGUCGUUCUCACCUUCCUCCAAUUUAUCAUUAGCGGUCUUCUAUAAGUGGAUCAAAACAUAGUAAAACAUUUUAAUUACCAAUAUAGAAAAAGAGUUGCGCUCGUUAAAGGACUGAACCAAACACUUCACAGCACGAGCUGACG